GGCACAGCUGUACAGCCACCACUGAAGCAGAUGAAACACCACAACCCAGAGAGAAACAGAAAUCAAACUCAUCUGACCUAGUUCCAAGUGUAACAACAAGUCAGACAGAUGAGCAAGCAAGCAGAAGGAUAUGGACUGUUGACCAUCUCCCAGCACAACAGAAUUUGCCAGAGAUCUAAAUAAGGAUUUACUUCAAUUGAGCUCAACCCAAACAUUAACCAGAGGUGACUUCUGGUCUUUGGCCUUUGAUGAGUUAGAG